rnacentral:tRNA from 1 species
UCUCCUGUAGCUCAGUGGUAAAUUAAAGUUUCCGACCGGUGUGCAGAAGGUCAUAGCAUGUCAUAGGUUCGACUCCUGUUGGGGGAA